UUAGAAACAAAUUUUAUUUUUCAAGGUAAAUACAGACACAGAGACACUUGUUCUGACCAACAGAUUGACCUCCACAGACUGUAUCCAACAAGAUAUUACAACUCAGACUGAUUGUGCAUAAUCAAAAGGGGGUCCUGAUGGGCUGGAUGCAGUUCAAUUAGGGUCCUCAUUGGCAGUAAGUAGUAACACUUCAGCUCUGUAAAAUGUCAAAAAGGGCCAUCUGGACUGAAUUUUGAUGUUAUGCCUUCAUAAUUUCCUCAAUGGGAGUUUGUAUACAUGCAGAGGCCUUGACAAAACACUGCUACAAAGAUACCCCUCAGCCUCAAAGACAUAAAAAACACAGAGUCUCAAAGAUAUUUUAUAGAACACUGUCUCAAAGACAUAAAAAGAACAAACAGUGUCUCAAAGAUAUGUAUAGAACAGUGUUUCAAAGAUAUAAA